rnacentral:rRNA from 1 species
UACCAGACUCCUACGGGAGGCAGCAGUGGGGAAUAUUGCACAAUGGGGGAAACCCUGAUGCAGCGACGCCGCGUGAGCGAUGAAGUAUUUCGGUAUGUAAAGCUCUAUCAGCAGGGAAGAAAAUGACGGUACCUGACUAAGAAGCCCCGGCUAACUACGUGCCAGCAGCCGCGGUAAUACGUAGGGGGCAAGCGUUAUCCGGAUUUACUGGGUGUAAAGGGAGCGUAGACGGCUGUGCAAGCCAGAUGUGAAAGCCCGGGGCUCAACCCCGGGACUGCAUUUGGAACUGUGUGGCUGGAGUGUCGGAGAGGCAGGCGGAAUUCCUAGUGUAGCGGUGAAAUGCGUAGAUAUUAGGAGGAACACCAGUGGCGAAGGCGGCUUACUGGACUGUAACUGACGUUGAGGCUCGAAAGCGUGGGGAGCAAACAGGAUUAGAUACCCUGGUA